AACAUGUAUAAGCUGUUAUGGGAUAAGGCUCUUCACUUAUUGCUGUUCCACUUCACAUUGCUAAAUAUUCUUCAAGCUAGAGAGAGGAAGAAUAUCUCAGUGCACCUGUGUCUGUGUUAAAAGUAACUGCUGUGGUGCUGAAGAUGCCACUCUCUACAGUGCUCAGGUGAGUUGAGUUGAGCUUGAGUUGACAGACCUUGGCUAGCUUUAGAAUCAACAAGGAAACCUAAGAGUUACAGCCAGACAGUGAGAACUUACAUAUGUAAUAAAGUCAUUUUCUUCCUAUUCUACCCA
rnacentral:lncRNA from 1 species